AUAAGGGCAUCAUCGGCUGAUAUUGCUGCUCUCUUUCUCUAGACACCCAUCUGAAUCAAGUGUUGAUCAAUGGAUUCCGCUAGCGGCGCUUUGCUUAGGAAGGUCAUUCCUGUUGCCUGCAUCUUGCUGGUCUUGUUGUCCAUGGGCUCCCCCGUGAUGGCAGACAUAGAGAACGACUGCCGUGCGAUUUGUAUUCCUAGGUGCAGUGGCCUCGCUUCUGAUGGGUGCAACAGCAUCAUUGAGCUCGCCCCUACUAUCCUGAAACCUCUGAAUCUCCUUCCAACGUGUGAAGUGCGGAUCGCUCAACUAUGUCUUCCCCUCUGCAUGAACGUCUGCACCCUCAACACCCUGACCCCGCCGGGCGCCCCCACACCGGCGCCGGUCAGCGCCGCCGCACCACCACCAUGCAAGCCAUAAUUAUAUACCCGUGUCUUACUUCAUAAGCAUACAAAUUACUAAAGAAUGAUCAAAAUAUAUCUAUGUAAUAAAGUGUCCUUGCUCCCGGUAUAUGCCUACCGGCUAGCUAGAGGAAGCAUGUGUGCGAUGCUUGGUCAUCGUCAGUGUUCAUGAGCUAAGACUCAUACCAUGUACCUGAUAUCUGUGUCCAAGGGUAUUCUUGGAACCCGUGUUUAAUUGGAAGUAUAAAUUUCUGUAUCAACCAAAA
rnacentral:lncRNA from 1 species